rnacentral:rRNA from 1 species
UACGUAGGGUGCAAGCGUUAAUCGGAAUUACUGGGCGUAAAGCGUGCGCAGGCGGUGAUGUAAGACAGAUGUGAAAUCCCCGGGCUCAACCUGGGAACUGCAUUUGGGACUGCAUCGCUGGAGUACGGCAGAGGGGGAUGGAAUUCCGCGUGUAGCAGUGAAAUGCGUAGAUAUGCGGAGGAACACCGAUGGCGAAGGCAAUCCCCUGGGCCUGUACUGACGCUCCUGCACGAAAGCGUGGGGAGCAAGCCGG